CACUUCCUUUCUUGGGCGACUUGGCAGAUAAAAAAAAAAAAAAGUGGUACAAGGACGACUGAAGUGAACAUGGCCCCCAGCACGCAACGGAAUGAAGCUGUGUCCGACGUAAAAAAGGGAAUUCGGGCAAUCCUGCUUGGACCCCCUGGUGCUGGGAAAGGAACACAGGCUCCUCGGUUGGCAGAGCAGUACUGUGUGUGUCAUCUGGCCACGGGGGACAUGCUGAGGGCCAUGGUGGCAUCUGGCUCUGUGCUCGGCAAGAGGCUCAAGGAGACCAUGGAUGCCGGGAAACUGGUCAGUGAUGAGAUGGUGGUAGAACUCAUAGAAAAGAACCUGGACACUCCUCCCUGUAAGAAGGGGUUCCUAUUGGAUGGAUUCCCCCGCACAGUGAAACAAGCAGAGAUGCUGGAUGACUUGCUGGAGAAGCGCACAGAGAAGCUGGACUCUGUGAUCGAGUUCUCCGUCAACGACUCCCUACUGGUGCGCAGGAUCUGUGGCAGACUAAUUCACCAGCCUAGUGGUCGCUCCUACCACGAGGAGUUCAACCCACCCAAAGAGCCAAUGAAGGACGACGUGACAGGGGAGCCGCUGAUGCGCCGCAGCGACGACAAUGCACCCACGCUGCGCUCACGGCUGGAGUCCUACCACGGGCAGACUGUGCCCCUGGUCAAAUACUACAGUGCCCGCGGCCUGCACAAGGCAGUCGACGCUGGCCAGUCCCCCGACGUAGUCUUCUCCUCCAUCCUCGCCGCCUUCUCCUCGGCCACAGCCGCCACCUGUAAAGACCUGGUGCUCUUCAUCUAAGCUCCCACUACCUUUUCGGUCUCUCCUUCACGCUCCUAUCAUCUAGCUUUCCAACUUUCCUUUUUUAGUCUUUCUUUCACACUCUGGACUAGUCUGUGCUCCGUUCUCCUCCCCUUCGUCUCUCUGCUCUCCACUUUCUUCAUUCUGUGGUGGGGUGUCUCCCCUGUACUUGAACACGCUCCACUACUGGGACUUGAAUAGACUUCUCCUGGAAACUACAGAGACUGGACUAGCUGGUUAUAAUGGAGUGUACAAGAUGAGUGUAAUUUCCCCUUGGGCCAGCUGUUUGAAUCCCUGCUUCUCCAAUCCUGGCAAUGGAAACGAAGGAGGAAAUGUUGUACUAUAGCACUUCAUUUUGGAAUGUUGCUGGAGGAUGAGGGAGCUUAAUGUACUGCAUUCUACAAGGAAUAAGUGGAGCCAUCUUGGAAUUGACUUUGAUUGUUACCCUUGUAAUAAAAUGAAGACGCUGUUCUACAAUCAUGACA